ensembl:lncRNA
CGCCUGUAGCCGGGCUUGACAUCAGGCAAAAUGUUUUUUUUUUUUUUUUAAAUCAACCAUUAUAACGACGUAGAAAGUGCAAACAUCUACAGGAAACCGGAAAGGGUCACCAAAGACGCCCCGCUGACAAAAACCCGUCUGAAAACCACCUAAACGGAGCUAAAUGUAGCGCACCGUGUGCCAACUUUGUUUCGAAUAUCCAAACCCCGGCAGUCCCCGUAUCCCUCUAGCGGCGCGGACUGCACCGAUACCCGGCAUGCAUCGUUAGGAGACACCGCAGAGCAACCAUGUUUCUCAGUACCGGCCAUGGCAGUCAAAAACACCCCCCGAAAACAGCACUGAACAGAUUUGUCUUUGAUUUCCACCCACAGAGAGUCAGAUCCACAAACACAAUCACAACAAUCAAUUUGCAGAAUCAACAAGUAACAGAAGAGAUGACUAUGUGCCAUGGAAGGUGCUGAGGUGUAGACGGUAUGUGUAUCUUCUUCUCUGUGAUUCGAAUUGAUGCGUGCCGGACUGCUGGUGUGAUUUCCAAAUU